AUAUCACGUAUCCAAUCACUCUCAUUGUAUUCUUGGUCUGCAUAGUCGGAGUCGGAGACUCCAUCCCUUCAUCACCGAUUCGCCGUUGUCAUCAUACUGCUACCACCCAUCCCAUUCUAACUGUUACAAGUUGCAGCGAUCUUCACGCCUCCAUCAGUCGUUAUCAUACUACUUCUUUCGCUCUUUCUACUAAGAGUCCUCCAGUUUUGUUCCUUCGGAUCACACAGUGGUAUCGUGGUAUGCGCUUCUCCUGUUAGAACGAUUGUCAAGUGCAGAAAAAAUGUUAAAUCUAUUAAUAUCUUCAUCAAGCUACGUCACCCAAACCCUAAACCCCUUUCUUAUUAAACCUGCAUCGGCUUUCUCCAUCUAUAGUCAAAUUCAUAAAUCUGACAUCAAAGAAAGCCAGUCUGAAGUGUCAAUACUCCGACCAACAACAUUGAUCUCAUGUUUCAUCUUAUUCUCAAGCUAGAAAGCUUCCAUUUGUGUAUGAAGGCUGCUCUUACAGUGGAGCCUCGCCCACCAGUUUGCCACAUUAGAUGUAUGUUUAUAUCCACGUUUUCAGACCCUGAGUGGACCAAUCUUUGCUACACUGCUAAGUGCUAAAACCAACAAUCAUCUUCACAGUGAGCGUUCUAUAAUUCGAACUUCAUAGGAGCCACUGAAUUCAACAACAUUGGGGUAUACUCCCUAAUACAAGAUAUUUUAUUGCUCAUUAUUAUUAUACCAAAUUCUUUGGUAGAUUAGAUGGUUAAAAUGCUAAAGGUAUAAUGAAACACCUGCUCUUGGUAAGCCAAAUGCCUGCCAUCUGGUAAGAGUAUACUUUUUGUAUUUUAAGUAUUUGAUCUUGCAUUUGAUCCUGGAAUUAGACAAUAUGAUCUUGAUAAUGUGAACCUUUGGAAAAACUAUGGAAUUUGAUGGAUAAACAGAGCCUCUCUUGAUUUUGUAGGGUUUAGGCAUGGAUUCAGCCCCUGAUCUUAUUACAGAACAGGAUGGAAGCUUUAUGAUUGGUGGCGACACUGCAAUCUAGCGAAUGAUAGCUCCUGUUUUUAUUUGUCAGAAUAAAAAUGUAGUGCCUGGGGCAGUUGAUGGGCAUGAGAAUCCAAUGGUAGACGAGUUCUUUAAAAUCUGCUAUCAAUUAUCAAAUCUGCUCGAACGAAUUUGUGAGCACCAGAAGAAGCAAAGUGGAGACACUGAAGACAUUACCAUGGAUUAUAAAUAUGAUGGACCAUCUACGCUCUUGGUUGAGCUCAGAUAUCUGCACGGGAGAACUUGUAGCUUGCUCUCUUCCUCGCAAGUGUUUCUUGUUAAGAUAGUAGAAACUACAAAAGGAAUCAAAAAUCAACAAGACUGGGGCUAACCAAUCAUGGAACUUCAUGACAGCUAGAUUUGUAAUUGGUGUUGGAUCUUUGUAUUUCCUAGGCCACCGUUGGCUGAGUGGCUUAGGAGUUUUCAUAGGGGGUGACUCACUUGGUAAAAAAGUGGUCAUCAUCCAAGUUUUAUAAAGAGGCAACACUUUUUAACAAGUCAAAGGAUUUUACAACAUCGGUAAUCACAUACGCCACUCUCAUUAACUCAAAAGUUAAACUUGUGGAAUCCUCAAUUCAGGAGCUUGACGCUGCUUUAUGUAGCGUGGUGUCACGGACAAAUUUUUUGGAAGUCUCCGGGACCAUGUAGAAAAUGUUGGAAAAAUAAAGAAUACACGAAGGAAUAGGGAUCCAUAUCCCACUUGAUGAUUUACUCAAGAUUUUAUGAGAUUGAGAGAAGAAGUAGGAUUCAAGGUACGUUGACAAAUAAAAGCACCCCUUACUCGAAGAGAUACUUUGGAGAAAAAGAAAAGACACGAAGUAGCUCCGUGACAAGAUCGGAACAUAUGUAUAAAAGACUUGACAAGGAUGUUAAGGGUUUAAGUGGAGGAGGGUGUCAUGGACAAAGUUUUUGGAAAGUCUCUGGGACCGUUUAGAAAAUGUUGGAACAAUAAAGAAUACAUGAGGAGUCUCUGAAAUAAUCAAGAGGACACUAUACGAAACUAGAAUCACUUGGAAGACUCAAGAAGGAUCUAGAAAAUGCUAUAUCAUGCAAGAAUAAGUUGGAUAAUAUCAUAACAUCCUAGAGAUAUCUAGAACAUUAUAGAAUAGUGUAUCAUAAUAUGGAUUCAUGUAAAGAUAAUGUGGAUAUUGAUAGAACACUCUAGAUCAGUCGAGAAUAUAUGGGACCUAGAAACUUCCCAUGAGGAGAUGUAAUGUCCCUAUAAAUAGGAAAGAGGUCUUAUUUGUAGAGACCAUCGAGAAGUCGUUGUGAUCUCUUGAGUUCCUUAUAAUACAAGAACUCUUUGUAUUCUUGAAGUGCUAGUCUCUUGCUUUCCGGUUUCGUUAAUACAUUUAAGAUCGUUGAAGUAGCCUGACUUAGUUGAAGAAAAACUGAGUGGCACACGAGAUAGACUAGUAGUAAGAUUCAUCCCGUGAUAGUUGGUUCUGAUGGAGACUACUUGAAAAAUGAAUGCGCAAGAAACAAUCUAAGGAAAGUGUUGCAAGAGACUUUGUCGCAUACCGAUGCAUGUGCCAAUUGUGUUGAACUAGGAAAAACGGAGGUGAUGAACAAGUAGGAAUCCAUGUGAAGAGGUAUUUUAUCUGUUUUUUUCUUUACACCUUAAUUUACUAACUAGUGGUCAAAUUAGUGGUGGUCUAAUUUCUGAGAGUAAGCUUCCAUGGGAUGUGUUUUAACUUUUAUAGAUUCAUAAAGAUUUUGGGAUUAUUAUAUAUAUUUUUGGUUUGUUGUUGGCGUUGUUUUGGCAUAUUUGUUUCAUUCAAUUCCCUGUUUUCUUAUUUAUCUUUUUUACUUUUAGUUUAUUUCAGAAGCAAAUGUUAAUUUAGCUCUAUGUUUUGUGGCCUUUUGAUGCAAUACUAUUUUGAGGAAUUGAGGGUCUUUGCUAGAUCAAGAAACAAAUUUCUUCAAUUAGGGAAUAGCGCAGAUGGAUUAAUCAUGCGGUUCCGCAGCGUCCUCCAACUCGUUGUCCGCGCCCCUUCACUUUGUUUGCUAUUUACUCAAUUACAAACAUUUCUGGAACAUCUCUAACAGAGGACUUAUGCAAUUAGGAAAUUCAACAAGAUUGUCUAUAAUCAAAUCAUUUUGGGUCUUUUUAGAUGGAAAUACUGCAAUUUUUGUUACAAGUGUUUGUGUUUGUUCAAUGUGGUUGAAUGAAUGAGCUGAUGAAUUAUCGGA